rnacentral:rRNA from 1 species
UACGUAGGUGGCGAGCGUUGUCCGGAAUCACUGGGCGUAAAGGGCGCGUAGGCGGCGCUUCAAGUCGCAUGUGAAGGACCAGGGCUUAACCUUGGGGGGUCAUGCGAAACUGGAGUGCUUGAGUGCAGUAGAGGUAAGCGGAAUUCCUGGUGUAGCGGUAAAAUGCGUAGAGAUCAGGAGGAACACCGGUGGCGAAGGCGGCUUACUGGGCUGUAACUGACGCUCAUGCACGACAGCGUGGGGAUCAAACAGG